CUUUUUGUGCAUAAUGUAUAUAUAGGGGGGUGGUAGUACUCUUGGGGUAGAGAGGCAUGUGCUGGGAUGGCAUGCCAAGGCAUGUGCUGGGAUGGCAUGCCUUGGUGUGUGCUGGGAUGGCAUGCCAAGGACAAGCAUGUGCUAGGAAGGCAUGCCAAGGCCAAGCCAAGGCCAAGGCAAGCACAUGCAUUGUGAGCUAGUUGAGACGGUUGUCUUUACCCCAAGAGUGCCCAAGGGAGAGGAAAGAGGUGUCAAACGCAUGCUGAGCCCCACUUCGGUAGUUUGGCACCCCCAUAGGCAUUCAGGCAAGCGUGCCUAUGGGUAAAGUCGCUUGAGCUUGCCAACACCCAUGUUAGCUGUUGUCUGGACCGAUGAUGGCACAAGGAUGCUUGCUUUAAGGUAACAUUCCGGCAGCACAGCCAGCCCGCAAUUGCUAGUUCAAGCGGGUGGAAUCUGCCUAUAGGGGUGUUGCUUGCUUGCUGUGGAUUUGGGACACGCCCAAUAUCUAUCAUCGACCCAACGAACUGCUCAACAUGGGUUGCUGAGGGCUAUUUUUGGCACUGAUGGUUCACUUGUUUGCUUGGCUCUGAUAAACGUUCAGAUGUCAUGAUGCUUGGGAUCCAAUAAAUUUAUGUGGGAAGCUGAGAGCUUGAACCCAAUGUCAUUCACCAGACGGCUUAGCUUCGUCAGUGUGUAUAAUAUGUCAUUGAACCCCAAUCCUCGAUGCCAACUUGAUUAAGACUUUUGGAUCGCAAUUAUCAUGGCUAUCGAAAACUGAGUAGGAGUCAUGGAAUAAGUGAACAAUUUGUAGCCUUUAUAGCUGUCAGCUUUCGCAUCGCCCGGUGUGUUUUGGGAAUCGUUUUGUGCAUUUGGUUGCCUGCCGUGCCUCUUGGCAUACGGUGGGUGCCACUUGCCGGGUGGUUUUCGGAAACAUCCACCGUAAAGGUGCAUGAGUGGUGUUUGGUUUGUUACGGGUGGUUGGCUCUUUGCUUGCGCAACAACUUCCACCCGACUUACCUCUUCAGAUGUUUGCCUAGGCUUGUAUAGCCUAAGCAGAUUGUGGGUUUCCUGUGUUGCCUACCUACGUCACGGAAUUGUCUUGAUCGAUCAAAGUUGCUUUCGUCUUGUGUCGUCUUGAUGGCAUAAGAUGAACCAUGAAGCUGUCUCUUUGCACCGCAUCGUUAAUGCAUGCGUUGAUGUUGUGGCCCAUUGAGCAUUGCUUGGUACCUUGGAUACGGAACCUUAUGUGGGCAUGGGUCCUUGGGGAUCCUUGUUCUGCCCUCGUUUAGCGUUCGCGCUUCUCUUAGAAUGACUGCCUAGCUGCAAUGGCAACCCAUUGUGGAUGGGCAUUGUCAAAGAGGAAUGC
rnacentral:misc_RNA from 1 species